rnacentral:rRNA from 1 species
UGGGGAAUCUUGCACAAUGGAGGAAACUCUGAUGCAGCGACGCCGCGUGAGCGAAGAAGCCUUUCGGGGUGUAAAGCUCUUACGCCAGGGACGAUAAUGACGGUACCUGGAGAAGCAGCUGCGGCUAACUACGUGCCAGCAGCCGCGGUAAUACGUAGGCAGCAAGCGUUGUUCGGAAUUACUGGGCGUAAAGGGUGCGUAGGCGGCGCUCUAAGUUUGGUGUGAAAUCUCCCGGCUUAACUGGGAGGGUGCACUGAAAACUGGGGCGCUCGAGUAUGGGAGAGGAAAGCGGAAUUCCUGGUGUAGCGGUGAAAUGCGUAGAGAUCAGGAGGAACACCUGCGGUGCAGACGGCUUUCUGGACCAUCACUGACGCUGAGGCACGAAAGCGUGGGUAGCAAACG